AGUCGCGGCGGCUAUGCGCGGGCACGUUUCGACGUGGCUGAGAUCCCUGGGUACUCGGUUCCUACCCCGCGUAUGGCUGCCACCCAU
ncrna:unclassified sequences C4 antisense RNA